ensembl:rRNA 5S_rRNA 5S ribosomal RNA
GUCUAUGACCAUGCUACCCUGAACAAGCCUGAUCCUGUCUGAUCUUGGAAGCUAAGGAGAGUCAGGUCUGGUUAGUACUUGGAUGGGAGACAUCCUAGGAAGACCAGCUGCUGUAGGCG